rnacentral:rRNA from 1 species
AUUGAACGCUGGCGGCAAGCCUAACACAUGCAAGUCGAACGAGUGGCGGACGGGUGAGUAAUGUCUGGGAAACUGCCUGAUGGAGGGGGAUAACUACUGGAAACGGUAGCUAAUACCGCCUACCAUCGGAUGUGCCCAGAUGGGAUUAGCUAGGAGGUGGGGUAAAGUCUAACCUAGGAGACGAUCCCUAGCGGGUCUGAGAGGAUGACCAGCCACACUGGACUUGAGCCACGGUCCAGACUCCUACGGGAGUCAGCAGUGGGGAAUAUUGCACAAGUGGCGCAAGCCUGAUGCAGCCAUGCCGCGUGUAUGAAGAAGGCCUUCGGGUUGUAAAGUACUUUCAGCGGGGAGGCGUUACCCGCAGAAGAAGCACCGGCUAACUCCGUGCCAGCAGCCGCGGUAAUAC